UGGGGAAUAUUGCACAAUGGAGGGAACUCUGAUGCAGCGACGCCGCGUGAACGAAGAAGGCUUUCGAGUCGUAAAGUUCUUUUAUAUGGGAAGAUAAUGACGGUACCAUAAGAAAAAGCCCCGGCUAACUUCGUGCCAGCAGCCGCGGUAAUACGUAGGGGGCUAGCGUUGUCCGGAAUCACUGGGCGUAAAGGGUUCGCAGGCGGAAAUGCAAGUCAGGUGUAAAAGGCAGUAGCUUAACUACUGUAAGCAUUUGAAACUGCAUAUCUUGAGAAGAGUAGAGGUAAGUGGAAUUUUUAGUGUAGCGGUGAAAUGCGUAGAUAUUAAAAAGAAUACCGGUGGCGAAGGCGACUUACUGGGCUCAUUCUGACGCUGAGGAACGAAAGCGUGGGUAGCAAACAGG
rnacentral:rRNA from 1 species